AGCGAACGCUGGCGGCAGGCCUAACACAUGCAAGUCGAACGAACUCUUCGGAGUUAGUGGCGGACGGGUGAGUAACACGUGGGAACGUGCCUUUUGGUUCGGAAUAACUCAGGGAAACCUGUGCUAAUACCGAAUGUGCCCUUCGGGGGAAAGAUUUAUCGCCAUUAGAGCGGCCCGCGUCUGAUUAGCUAGUUGGUGAGGUAACGGCUCACCAAGGCGACGAUCAGUAGCUGGUCUGAGAGGAUGACCAGCCACACUGGGACUGAGACACGGCCCAGACUCCUACGGGAGGCAGCAGUGGGGAAUCUUGCGCAAUGGGCGAAAGCCUGACGCAGCCAUGCCGCGUGAAUGAUGAAGGUCUUAGGAUUGUAAAAUUCUUUCACCGGGGACGAUAACGACGGUACCCGGAGAAGAAGCCCCGGCUAACUUCGUG
rnacentral:rRNA from 1 species